rfam:Gynuella sunshinyii YC6258, complete genome.
AAACUCGUGAGGGAAUGUCUGAAGGAAGCCUAAUCCAAAAUCGUGUGGCGAUGAAAAAGAACCUAAUAUGAGGUGUGACGUAAGUGAGACGAGUGGGCACGUAACUGCGAAGUCUUCCAUCUGCGAUUGGCUUACGUUUUAUAAAUUAGGCGUACAUGCGAGGAAAGUUAAUUGUC